rnacentral:rRNA from 1 species
AACGAACGCUGGCGGCAGGCUUAACACAUGCAAGUCGAGCGCCCCGCAAGGGGAGCGGCAGACGGGUGAGUAACGCGUGGGAACGUACCUUUUGGUUCGGAACAACUCCGGGAAACUGGAGCUAGUACCGGAUAAGCCCUAACGGGGAAAGAUUUAUCGCCGAAAGAUCGGCCCGCGUCUGAUUAGCUAGUUGGUGAGGUAACGGCUCACCAAGGCGACGAUCAGUAGCUGGUCUGAGAGGAUGAUCAGCCACACUGGGACUGAGACACGGCCCAGACUCCUACGGGAGGCAGCAGUGGGGAAUAUUGGACAAUGGGCGCAAGCCUGAUCCAGCCAUGCCGCGUGAGUGAUGAAGGCCUUAGGGUUGUAAAGCUCUUUUGUCCGGGAAGAUAAUGACUGUACCGGAAGAAUAAGCCCCGGCUAACUUCGUG